rfam:Lactobacillus sharpeae JCM 1186 = DSM 20505 NODE_15, whole genome shotgun sequence.
CUUGUGUUAAAAACUCUACCUAAGACUCAGGGGGCUUUGCCUUAAUUUUCCUGCCGAGGUGGUAUCGAACGAUUCAUGAUACCUCUAUGUCUUGGUGGACAUGGAGUUUUUUUAUAUAAAA